rnacentral:lncRNA from 1 species
GAGUCAGAAUUAAGAGUGUUGUCCCCUAUUCAUUAUGGGCAUGUUUAGUCAGGUGUAUAUUUUGACAUUACACAGAAAAACUAAACAGUGUCCAGAUACUAUAUAUGUCCUGAUACUGUACCCUAGACCUGCCAGAAUAAAGACUUUGAAGUAAUUUUCAAAGGGUGUCUGUUAGUAUUUUAUAAUAUACCACAAAUCCAUUUUAUGUUAGCUGUGAGGCUGUCAGAAAUAUGUUUUGUUUUUUCUCUGAUAGAUUGCUUGUUUGAUUUAAGAAUCUUGGCCUCCAGCCUACUUUUCCAGUAUGCCAGUCCCAUUGUUGACUGAUUUUCUUAACAUGUCCUUUAUGAUAAGAGCAUUGGGGGCUCCAUAUCUCUUCAGAAGAGAAAACUGUAAAGAGAAAGUAAAUUACAUUCAUAACAUUUCAGAAACCCUAAAAUAUAAAUAUAUAAAACAUAAGCGUGGGAAGUUCUGGUUCCAAGUGAGCUGGUGUAAUAAUCACCUGACUCUGUGUCUCUCUCAGUGAGUACACCUAUUGUAAACCUUGGACAGAAUGCCCGGAGCAGCUUUCUGAAGACUGUGAAUAGUAAAAAGUAGCAAGAGAAUUAGGAAAGACCAAACUUUGAAAUGCCACCAGACUGGGGGUGAGUUUUCCAUUUUUCUAUUUGUGUUGUCACAUGGCCUGGUCUCAACAUAGUGUGGAACCAGGCAGUGGACAUCAUUGUGGACAGAGAGAGCCCCAGGAGGGCUCUAAGAGAAGCCCUCAACCUCAGGCUUGGAACGUAGAGAUUAUGGCUCCUAACGGUGAUAGUGGGCACAGAGGAAGACAUAGGUAUCUAAAGCUGAGGAAGGGGGUUGCCUUCCUUUCUGUUGGAGGAUCUAUGGUCAUGAGAGGUUGAGACGUGCAACCUGUUCUUAUUUUCUCUGACUUCUUGCCAGUUGGCCCCCACUGCCUGAACACUUGGAGAAAGUAAGAGGCAAAGUGUAAAUAAAACCUCAGCUUUCUGGGCAGAGUGCUGAAAAGGGAGAGCCCCAGGGAAUCAGAAAGUACUCAUUUAUCUACAAGAGAGGGGAACUUAGGAAAGGGAUCUCAGAAGAAUUAAUGUAGAAACUCUUGGAGAUGAAAUUAAUGGAAGUGACAGAGGAAAGAGUCAGAGAACUUGAAGAUAAAUCAUAAAAAUUAUGCAGUCUAAAAAACAGAGAUGAAAGAUUGGGGAGGGGGAAAGAGCAUCAAGGCCCUAUGGAAUGACAACAAAGCUCUAACUUUCGUAUCAUUGACAUCUCAAAAGGAAAGGAGGAAGUAUUGUGCAGAAAAUUACUUUUUAAAAAAUGGCAAGAUAACAGACAAACUCAUAUAGUGAUGGUAGGAAUACAAAAUAGUACAGCCACUCUAGAAACAGUUUGAUAGUAACUUGUAAAGCUAAACAUAUAUUUACUGUAAGGUCUACCCAUUCCAUUCCCAUAGAGUUGAAACAUUUAUGGUGAAAUCAGAACAUAACAUUCACACAAAUAGAUAACCACACAAAUAUUUGUAGGAACUGUAUUGAUAAUUAUCAAAAGAUGGAAAAAACCCAGUUAUCCUUCUAUACAUGAAUGGCUUUUAAAAAAACCCUCCAAUACAUCUGUGUAAUGGAAUACUACUCAGUGAUUUAAAAGAACAUGUGAACUAUUGAUAGACACAGUAAUUCAGGACAUUUUGUCAAAAGGUUGCAUACUGUAACCUGAUGGAAAGUAGUCUCAGAAAGUAACAUACUGUGCUCCCUUCGGCAGCACGUACACUAAAAUUGGAACGAUACAGAGAAGAUUAGCAUGGCCCCUGCGCAA